AAGUAUUUGCUGUGUUGCCAAAGUAGAAAGAGCAGAAGGGAAACAUCAUGGGAAGAAAGACUAUUUUGUUUCUGAUUGCAGGGGUCCUUGGGGCAUAUUAUGUUUAUACUCCUCUCUCAGAUAAUAUUGAGGAACUCUGGUGACUGGUGUGGAUAGCUACACCUGUGAAAAUGGUAACAAAUUUGGCUUUGUUAGUUGAACUCUUGGGAAUCAAUCAUUUCAUGAAUACUGCAACGUUCUUUGUGAGCUUUCAAGAAGUCCCACCUACAUCUGAUGAAAAUGUCACCAUGAUAGAGACAACUUUCAGUAACAUUCCUGUCCGUGUAUACAUGCCAACACUAAAGUCAGAGAUACUAAGAACGGGCUUAGUUUAUAUUCAUGGUGGUGGUUGGUGUAUGGGGGAUGCUGCUUUGUUUAAUUAUGACUUUCUGUCAAGAUGAACAGCUGAUAGACUUAAUGCUGUUGUUGUAUCAACCAACUCAUAGAAGACCCAGAUGUCAAGAUCAAACUCAAGCUUCAGUCUUUAAUAUAUCCUGCCCUUCAGACGCUUGACAUGGAUUUACUAUCACAUCAGAAAAAACUAGACUCUCUAGUUCUGUCCAAACCAUUCAUGGUCAGGUUCUGUAGGGAAUACUUUACCACAGACAGAUCACUUGAAAAAGUCAUGUUCUUCAACAUGUACCAAUGGAAUCAAACCAUCUGUUCAGAUUUGUUAAUUGGAGUUCCUUGCUCACUGAGAAGUUUAAGAAAGGCCACUUUUGUUAUAUUCCAACUCGUGGUAGUUCUGAGCUAGCUAAAAAAUAUCCAGGGUUCCUAGAUGUGAGGGCAGCCCCUUUGUUGGCCAAUGACAAGUUACAUGGUUUACCCCUGUCCUAUAUCAUCACCUGUCAAUAUGACAUCUUAAGAGAUGAUGGACUCAUGUACAUCACGCGACUUUAGAACUCUGGAGUUCAAGUGACACAUAACCACAGUGAAGAUGGAUUCCAUGGAGCACUUUCCUAUAAUGGGCUUAAAAUUGAGUAUGGAAUAGAAAAUCAGUAUAUGAGUUGGCUAAGUGAAAAUCUAUAGUAAAAAUGUAAGCAAUGGUUUAUUUAAAAUGUAUAAGGCUCAGAACAGGAAACAAAUUAGUGAAAAUCAAAGGGUUGAUGUUUGAAUUGGUCUUUAUCAUCUGUGACCUUUCUAAGGUCCUCAUAGCCAUAGUGGGUUUUGGUUUUGUUUUUAUUUAUUGGCCGCUAGCAAAUUCUUCUCCAUUUUAUUUAUUAUCCUGUUAUUCACUCACUUCUGUGAAGAUACUUUAGUAUUUUCUUCUGCUACCAUUACUCACUUGUUAAAUCUCUAGUUUACAGCUAUAGUUUUUUGAUUGCCGAAUAGUAUUACAGAUGAGAAGAAAGUUUUAAACAAACACGUCUGAUUUGUAAAAUGCCAGUUUUAGUCAACAUGAAUUUAGAGACUUAAAAUGUUUCCCUGUGAGAACUGAUAUGAAAUAUGUGCCAUCUCUUUUAAAAAGCAUUUGCCUCAA
ensembl:lncRNA AADACP1 arylacetamide deacetylase pseudogene 1